GAUGAACGCUAGCGGCAGGCUUAAUACAUGCAAGUCGUGGGGCAGCGCAGAGUAGCAAUACUUGGGCGGCGACCGGCAAACGGGUGCGGAACACGUACACAACCUUCCUACAAGUGGGGAAUAGCCCAGAGAAAUUUGGAUUAAUACCCCGUGACAUAACGAUGUGGCAUCACAUUGUUAUUAUAGCUUCGGCGCUUGUUGAUGGGUGUGCGGCUGAUUAGAUAGUUGGCGGGGUAACGGCCCACCAAGUCUACGAUCAGUAGCUGAUGUGAGAGCAUGAUCAGCCACACGGGCACUGAGACACGGGCCCGACUCCUACGGGAGGCAGCAGUAAGGAAUAUUGGUCAAUGGACGCAAGUCUGAACCAGCCAUGCCGCGUGAAGGAUUAAGGUCCUCUGGAUUGUAAACUUCUUUUAUCUGGGACGAAAAAAGGCGAUUCUUCGUCACUUGACGGUACCAGAUGAAUAAGCACCGGCUAACUCCGUGCCAGCCGCCGCAGUAAAAC
rnacentral:rRNA from 1 species